rfam:Mustela putorius furo unplaced genomic scaffold scaffold00115, whole genome shotgun sequence.
UUUUUAGUAUACGUAUGUUCCAUGCAACAUUUGGAACAUAUAUAUACUAAAA